GCGUCAGAUGUGUAUACGAGACAGGUGAAUCAUCGAAUCUUUGAACGCACAUUGCGCCCUGUGGUAUUCCGCAGGGCAUGCCUGUUCGAGCGUCAUUUAACCACUCACGCCUAGCGUGGUAUUGGGGCACGCGGUCUCCGCGGCCCUCAAAAUUAGUGGCGGCGCCGGUGGGCUCUAAGCGUAGUACAUACUCCCGCUAUAGAGUCCCCCCGGUGGCUCGCCAGAACCCCCAAUUUUUACAGGUUGACCUCGGAUCAGGUAGGGAUACCCGCUGAACUUAAGCAUAUCAAUAAGCGGAGG
rnacentral:misc_RNA from 1 species